AGAGUUUGAUCCUGGCUCAGGAUGAACGCUGGCGGCGUGCUUAACACAUGCAAGUCGAACGGAGUUUAUAAGCGGAAGUUUUCGGAUGGAAACUUAUGAACUUAGUGGCGGACGGGUGAGUAACGCGUGGGUAACCUGCCUCAUACAGGGGGAUAACAGUUGGAAACGACUGCUAACACCGCAUAAGCGCACAGUGCUGCAUGGCACAGUGUGAAAAAAUUUAUUGGUAUGAGAUGGACCCGCGUCUGAUUAGCUAGUUGGUGGGGUAAAGGCCUACCAAGGCGACGAUCAGUAGCCGGCUUGAGAGAGUGAACGGCCACAUUGGGACUGAGACACGGCCCAAACUCCUACGGGAGGCAGCAGUGGGGAAUAUUGCACAAUGGGGGAAACCCUGAUGCAGCGACGCCGCGUGAGUGAAGAAGUAUUUCGGUAUGUAAAGCUCUAUCAGCAGGGACGAUAAUGACGGUACCUGACUAAGAAGCCCCGGCUAACUACGUGCCAGCAGCCGCGGUAAUACGUAGGGGGCAAGCGUUAUCCGGAUUUACUGGGUGUAAAGGGAGCGUAGACGGUGAUGUAAGUCAGAUGUG
rnacentral:rRNA from 1 species